CAUUCAAAAUAAAAAUCGAAAGGAUAAGCCCCAGUAUAUUGUAUUCUAAAUUGCAGAAUUUAUAUAUAUUACUUUCUAUCCGUGAGCAGCAUAAAUCAGUAUGGUUCCGUAUUAGAUCGGACCGGUGCAAAUCGAUAAAAGGAGGAAGGGAUGGAUCGGAGAGGAAGAAAAAAGAGAAGGAGAGAAAAAGAAGAGAAAAGAAAAAGAGAGGAG
rnacentral:lncRNA from 1 species